GCGCACGUGGCGGAAUUGGUAUACGCGUAUGCUUGAGGUGCAUAUGCCGCAAGGCUUGGAGGUUCAAGUCCUCUCGUGCGCACCA
rnacentral:tRNA from 1 species